rnacentral:snRNA from 1 species
GCGCUCGCUUGGGCAGCACAUAUACAAAACCGGAACGAAACAGAGAUUAGCACGGCCCCUGAGUAAGGGCGACACACACAUUUGUGGAAACCAUGAGCUCCCG